UGCCGCGUGAGUGAAGAGGGCCCGGGUUGGAAAGCUCUUUUUCUCAAUAGAAAAUGACUGUACCCGAAUAAGACUGUCCGGCUAACUUCAUGCCAGCACCCUCGGUUAUACGAAGGGACCUACCGUAAUUCGGAAUUACCGGGCUUAAACAGUACUUAGGGGGUUUAAAAAGUUCGUGGUGAAAUCCCUAAGCUUAACUCUAGAACUGCCAUCUAAACUUUUCAACUGCAGUUUGUACUAGGAAACUCGAGUUACUAUGGUAUAGGUGAAAUUUGUAGAGUUACGAAAGAAUACCAUUUGCUAACGCAGCUUUCUGGAUCAUUACUGAGAUGAUGAACGAAAACUGGCGCUGAUAAAGAAUUAGAUACCCUCGUACUCCAUGCCGAUACACUAUGUGUGUUAGACGUUGGAGAUUUAUUUUCAGCGGCUCGGACUAAGCGAUAAACUGUCCGCCUGGGGAGUACGACCGCCA
rnacentral:rRNA from 1 species